rnacentral:rRNA from 1 species
UACGUAGGGUGCAAGCGUUGUCCGGAAUUAUUGGGCGUAAAGAGCUCGUAGGCGGUCUGUCGCGUCGGCUGUGAAAACCCGCGGCUCAACCGCGGGCCUGCAUUCGAUACGGGCAGGCUAGAGUUCGGUAGGGGAGACUGGAAUUCCUGGUGUAGCGGUGAAAUGCGCAGAUAUCAGGAGGAACACCGGUGGCGAAGGCGGGUCUCUGGGCAACAACUGACGCUGAGGAGCGAAAGCGUGGGGAGCGAACAGG